UUUUCACAUAUAUUGGUUCGUGAUUAGAUUCUUUUUUACUGCAAUUAUGUUGCUUGAAGACUUAAACAUGUUGCAUCCUUAUGUUUCCAUAACUUAGGCAGGCAAACUAAUGUGUUCAUUAGGAGUAUAAGCUUGGAAAGACUGGAAAAGUAAUCCAUUUAGGAAUCAUGCCAAUAACUUUCGCAACAUUCUUUUGAGGUCCAAUAGUAGUGGUUAGCAUUAUCUUUUUUUUUUUUUUUUUUUUUAAGUCUGAUAAAUGAUACGAGUCAGAGAUAGUAGAUUUACUUUAUCUUCUACAUUUGCCAAGAUGUGUCCAUGUUUUUCGUUGAAUCUGAUCUGACUCUGCAUAUCAAAGGCUCAUGCAUAAAUGGAUUUGGCAUAUGCAGCUACAGACUUAAUCAUUUCAUGAGCUGGUGCAAUGACUUGCUAUGAGAUUUUGGCAACUGGAAAGCCUUCCAUUCUGGGAGUGCCAAAAUGGAAGAGAGGGUGAAGGAGGGAACUGAAAACAUCUUCCCUUGGUUUUAAGCAUUCAAAUCUUUCAAAGGGAAGAGCACAUUGAAAUUGCCAAAGCUAAGAAGAAGCUGAGGAAGAGCUUGAUACUCAGGCAU